GCCGGGCAUGGUGGUGCAUGCCUGUAGUCCCAGCUACUCAGGAGGCUGGGGCAGGAGAAUCGCUUGAACCCAGGAGGUUGCAGUGAGCCAAGAUUGCGCCACUGCACUCCCACCUGGGUGACAGAGUGAGACUCUGUCUCAA
rnacentral:SRP_RNA from 1 species